GUGUGUGUGUGUGUGUGUGUGUGUGUGUGUGUGUGUGUGUGUGUGUGUGUGUGUGUGUUUCCACAGGCAGUGAAUCCAGGAUUGUUGUCUGGAGGAUUUUGUGCGCUGGUAUUCUUCGAGAGAUUACGUGGAGGAGGAGGUGGAUGAGGCGGGACAGACGGUCACACGGGGCGAGCUGAGCGUUCGGAUGAAGAUCCCGGGGAACAUGUGAGUGUAGGCCUGGAAGACGGCUAAAGCCACACCGGCCCACAGACAGAAGAGACCGUUAGACGACACCAAAGAGGCCGAGAAGAGGAGUCUGAAGACAUCGUGUCGCUGCAUAGAGCUCUGCAGCAGGUCACCGCUCACGACAGCAAACUGCUGCUUCACCCCAGCCCUGACCUGAAGAAGCUGGAGGUUUGUCAGCUGUCUGCUGGAGGAGCCGAGGUCUCCGUGAUCGGAGCCGGACGAGGACCUGCUGGAACCAUCAUCCAUAAGAUGUUCGUCAGCUCUCAGCAGGGAUGAAUCUCACACUUGGAUUUCAACCCAAAACCAACACAGAAAAAAUGAAGACGUCAUAGGAUGCUUAAAUAAGUUCAAGCUUAUGGAACCAUUAGUAUUAUUGUAUAUUUAUUUUCAUCAUGAUAAUUAAAUACAUUUCCACUCCUAACUCAUGAUUCUCUGUAAUGAAUCUCAUUAAUCAAAGUCAUUUUUUAAAAGCAGUAGCUGUACUGUUGUGUAUAAAUACUGUACAAUUUAUAGAUGGGCGUCAGGAAAGCGGUUCCAGAUUUCCUGCCCCCUGCUGGACGGGAGGUUCUCCUGCGCACCUGUGUGCCGCGGCCCGCACCGUACUCCUUCUGUGUGCUGACCAGACGAGUUCAGACUCGCCGGGGCCUUCUCCUCCGACACCUGCUGCUUCUGAGCGAGAGACGAGCGCAGGUUACACGGGACACAGGCUUCAGGAAAUAAUGCAGACGAGUCUUUUGAGUCAGAACGCUUCACAUGUAAUCACAGGAAAUGAUUUCUGGAUCGGCGCUCUGAGGGUCUCAUCACCUCUGAAAUGGGUUUAUAUCUGUUGGGUUUCACACAUGCUAAUAAUAUCUGUUCCCUACUGUGUGCUUGAUGAGAGCAGCUCUAGAUUGAGUUUACAGCACUUUGCCUUAGGAAACAUCAUCACACAAACACACACACACACACACUCACACACUAACACUUACUCAUGCACACACACUCACUCAUGCACACACUCACACACUCUCUCUCUCUCUCUCACACACACUCACACACUCUCUCUGUCUCUCUCACACACACACACGCACUCUCUCACACACACACACACACACACACGCACUCUCUCUCUCUCACACACACACAUACUCUCUCUCUCUCACACACACACACACACACACACACACUCUCACACACACACACACACACACACACACACACUCUCUGGUUACGCAUCACCAGCAGCAGAGAGUAAAGUCCGGAUGGAUGCAUCAUGAUAUCUGUUAGUGUUCCCAUCAGAGGUGAUGUGAGACAUCGCAGAGCUCUGCCUGUGCUUCUGCUCGAGCGUCAGAGGGUUUCUGCUAAUGACAGUCAUGUAGACGUCUGUCUGAUGAGGCACUGUCAGUCUGUGUAGAAUCAAGGAAGAGUCUGCUUGUGUC